rnacentral:lncRNA from 1 species
CCAGCUACGAGAACACUUUCAAGCACACAGCUGGGACUCCGCUCCACUUUCACUGCCAAAUAAGUGUCCACAAUGAAGGGAACAACACACUGCUAGUGAAUGUCAAAGACGGUUGAAAUCUACCAACUGGUGAGAGAGGCUUGCAGAAAGUUAGUGCCUCCUGUAGCUGUGCUACAGGGGCAGGUGAUGCCUCAAAUCCAGAACAGACCCCUUAGGCCAGGAAGACUGUGCACCAAGCAGUUGCUCUCUGGAGGUGGUAUCCCUGGCAGGUGGAGGAGUGGGAAGAGUCCUGUCUAGCCCAACCCUUGUUUUCAGCCCCAAGAUGCUGGAGCGUGUGGCAGGAGGGGAGGGUGAGCCGCUUAGCCCCAGGGACACCUUUCUCAGAUCCCCACUUUUCCCAUGACACCCAGUGCCCCAGCUUAUCCAGCUGCUUCCCAGAAGGCUGCGUCUGAGUCUGGGCCCAGGGACAAACUUUCUCUCUGGGUCCUCUCCUAAGGCUGGAGAAGGGCCUUAGGAGAGUGACACCUUCCCACUAAAAACUGGAGUCCUAGGACCCGGCUUCCCAGGAUCCCUGUCAUCGGCCCACACGGACCAGCAAGUGAGUCAAGCUUUAAACCCACUAGGCUGUCACCCGAUUUGAGAUGAUAAAAAUAAAUGUGAGUGGUAUAAUUCCAAGGGCUGAGCAGGAAGUGAUAAUCGUCAUAAUAACAGUAGCAGUCAACAUAGUCUGAGCAAUUACUAUGUAUCUGAUGCUCAACAUGUAUUCUUUUAUGGGAUCCACAGUACCGUAAUAUGAGAUUAAAAUCGUGACCGAUGAUCACUGCCCCUAGUUUAGAUGAGAGGAAACUAAGGCCCAGAGAAGUUAAUUUACUUGCCCAGGACCACACAGCUAGAGAGCAGUUGAUUGUUUCAAAGGCAAGCAACCAAAGCCAGUAUUCCCUUCUGGAGUCUAAUAACUGCUCUGGGCUUGGGCCUUUCAAACGCCUAAGAUAUGGGGGGUGGGGUGGGGAAGGGGGGUCACAGAGAGUGGAAGAAGCAGUCAAUGAGACUAGAUCAUCAGUAACACUGCUUUCUGCAUCAGAAUUCGCCUAACAGGUGCUGAUGAUCUGACAACCUGGUUAUUUCUAGAUUUUUACUGAAAAAUUAAAUCUCUCCUUUUCUUAAAUUUCAAGAGGUUCUACCACCCCUGACCUGGGAAAAGUCCCUGGAGAAGUGACAUCCCUUCUCCCAGCCUUAUCUCAAACUUCUGGGGGAAAGCUUUAGGAGAACCUGGAACAUUUGUUCUCCUUGAAGUUUAUUGAUUGAUUUUAAAAGAAAACGGCUGCAGUCUGCCCUCAGCCCUGCCGAUGCCAAGCUCCAAAGCAAAACGGAGAAUAAGCACAGUGGACUUGGCUUGGCUGGCUAUUUAAAAAAAUCUUCCCCAAGCUGGCAGAUCUUGUUGCCCAGCAAAGCAGUCACUCAGAUUCUCCUCUAACAAAGUAGAGCACUUCCCCUUGUCUCUGACCUCAGUGUCCCCGCUCCCUCCCCACGUGGCUCUGGAGGCUGGUACCUCUUCAGUGACAUGUGAUCCAGCUGACACCAACUUGAUUGACACAAAAACAUGUGUCUGACCAAGAGAAGCCGCUUCAGAAACUUCCUCAGGAGCCAUUUACUCCCCAUGCCCAGAGAGGAAACCCAGGAUAGGCUGAAAAGCUAGGAAUGGCCCCAUCUCCAGGAAUAAGCCUCCUGCCCAGGGACAACAGGAAGGAGAUCUUAGAGCUGCCCACAGAGAAGCAAUCAAGUUUCGGUUCCUCUAACUCAGCCACCCAAGAUCAUGUCUCUCAGCCAAGGCCUUCGCUCUCUGCAAACCAAAUCAUCCAGACUAAAGUCAUUACCCCUAGCCUGCAGCUUCAAAAAACUCUCCACCCUCACCUCCUCUCAAAGAGAAGGGAGAUUUAGGAGGGAACAGCAACGUUGACAUCAAGACCAACAGUUAAUCUAUAAAACACUUUCAGAAACAGUAGAUAGGAGUAAAAAUUCAAGGAUGAGCCCUAGAGAAAUGUCUGAAAGGAAUUAGGAGGCCUGAAAUGCAAAAAAUGAGGAGAGAUGGCAAUGACUGAACCCACUUUACAGGAUGGAAAACUGAGGCCUAGAUGUGGCAGGCACUGAGUACUGGCAGGUUCUAAAAUGACGAGGCACAGGUGGCCUCCAGUGCUUCAGGGAGCAGGAAGGCCUAGGCGGCAGCUGCCCCACCCCGUUCCUGGGGCACCGGCCGGCCCCUAACCACACCUUACGGCCUGGCCCCGCCCAUCCACCUAGAUCCCGCCUCGCCCCUCCCUCACUCCCAUUGGCCCAACCCUCCAAGUCCCGCCCCC